rnacentral:rRNA from 1 species
CCUACGGGAGACAGCAGUGGGGAAUAUUGGGCAAUGGGCGCAAGCCUGACCCAGCAACGCCGCGUGAAGGAAGAAGGCUUUCGGGUUGUAAACUUCUUUUCUCAGGGACGAAGAAAGUGACGGUACCUGAGGUAUAAGCCACGGCUAACUACGUGCCAGCAGCCGCGGUAAUAAGUAGGUGGCAAGCGUUAUCCGGAUUUACUGGGUGGAAAGGGCGUGUAGGCGGGAACGCAAGUCAGAUGUGAAAACCAUGGGCUCAACCUGUGGCCUGCAUUUGAAACUGUGUUUCUUGAGUACUGGGGAGGCAGACGGAAUUCCUCGUGUAGCGGUGAAAUGCGUAGAUAUGAGGCAGAACACCAGUGGCGAAGGCGGUCUGCUGGACAGCAACUGACGCUGAGGCGCGAAAGCGUGGGGAGCAAACAGGAUUAGAUACCCGUGUAGUC